GGGGAGGAGUGGAGCACCUCUCGGGCACCUGAGGUUCAACUAGGAGAGGAGGGAGGUGUGUGCGGCGGCCAGAAGGAAGGGGAGGCCCGGCGGAUUCGGCGAGAAGGGGAGGGAGGAGAGAGAGAGCCUCCUGGCGCGGACGGAACCCGCCUCUCGUUGCCAAGGUGUCUUCUUGGAAUCGAAGAAGGACACCUGAGGGACCGUUACUAGCCAGAGAGGUGGCAGCGCCGGAGUCACCGAGGCUGCCGUGCUCGUCUAAGGGGAGCAGAGUCCCCACCCCUGACAGCUUGCCGCUGCUGCCCGCCUGCCGCGCCCGGCGAAAACUCGGAAAGAGAUUUCCACUGGGAUGCCCUGCCAGCUGCCACCUUCAUUCGGAAGGCGGUGUGGGGCUAAAGAUCCUGAGGACGAGGAACGGGAAAGAUUCCUUGCUUUACAGCUGCCGCCCCACCAAACCUCUCCCACAUUCUAAGCAAAGGAGGAUUCCUGGGACAGCUGCUCCGAACAGCGUGGAGGCGGGGUUAAUUUGCGCCUAGAUCGCUGAGGGGUGUUUUUCCUCUCCUGAUCUUCUAAUUUGAAAGUUAGGUUCGCAUCGUUCUCAGUUUAAGAGACCAAUUAUAUGGGGAUAGAAACCAGCACAGGUCAUCAUAAUCUGGGCCCCUCCCGUCCACUCCCACUAUUAAGGUUACUGUUAACAUUAUUAACAGUAAAGCAUUCUUCCUGAUGCAUUAGUGGAAAACAUAUUAUAGAGGAAAGUAGCUUUUCACCCUUAGGGUACUCUUUGAAUCCUUAAGGCCUUAAAAAUAGAUAAUGUUUAAAAUACUCGCAGUUAAAAGAAAAAGAAAAGAAAAGAAAAGAACUCGCAGUUAAAAGGAACCAAAAGGUGGGGUCAAAGAAAAGUUACGAAGUUCUACAGAGAAGUCAGAAGAAAAAUUAUAUUGGUUUGAGAGAGGCAAUAGUUUCCCUGAGAAAAAGUUAUUUGAGAUGGGCUUGGAAAGUGAACUGGAUUUUAUCACAUGGAACUAUGGGAGGAGGGAGGCAGCGUGAGAAAAGAGAGGCACAGGAAUGUCCACUGUAGAAGUUUUAAAAGUUUACAACUUUUUGGAGUUCCAGUCAUGGUGCAGUGGAAGCAAAUCUGACUAGGAGCCAUGAGGUUGCAGGUUGGGUCCCUGGCCUUGCUCAGUGGGUUAAGGAUCUGGCAUUGCCAUGAGCUGUGGUGCAGGUCACAGACGCACUAAAAUGAAUUCAACUGUACCGCAUCUCAUGGUUACAAAUGUUUGUUAAAGAUUUGUUUUCCAUGAGUAGGUUUAAUAUCCCAAAUGUUUUUCUCAUGAUCUGAAAUGAUGACUUGUACAUUGCCAGGGUAAAAGGCAGUAUCAACAGCUUGCCAUUCCUGAAAAUUUAAGCACCUCAGGUUUAUAUUCUAAAUCCUUCAAUGAAUGUCAGCAAAAGGGGGAAGUAGGUGUGCCAGCAGGAGAGAGACAACUUUCACUUCACUGUUAACGCAUUCGGAAGGAGGAAGGCAGGCAUUAAGCCUGACUUCUCACAGAAUCUUGUUGCCUGGGUUUGGACAAAUAGUUUAACCUUGAGUAUGUUAACAUAUCUGGCGAAUAAGUGCUAGUAGAAUAUUCACUAACAAAUAAAUGUCCUCCAUUGAGAAGAAACAGAUAAUAAUAGUGAAACACCCUAAACACAGAGUGGUCACAGGUAUUCAAUCUAAAUGAUCUAAGGUUAAGUUUUGUGUCUGUCAUGGAUUUGUCAGCUCCCUAUUAACGCUGUUCUACUGGUGAAACAAAAGGAGACAUAAGACAAUUAGCCAACUGUUGUUUACAAUUUUUCAGAAUUAUUCAGUCUCCUGCUUUACUUUGCCUCUGGUUACAGUAAAAUAGUUGGCAAUAAUCAGAGGUUCACUGCAGAAGGAAGGACGAGGAAAACUUCACUUCUAGCUAAGUCACAGUUAAAACAACAGUAGCUGUGGAUUAUCGUGUAGGUGUGAAGAAUACAGCCGUUCAGUUCCCCCUCAUGGCUCAGCGAUUAAUGAACCUGACUAGUAUCCACAAAGAGGAGGGUUUGAUCCCUGGCCUCACUCAGUGGGUUAAGGAUCCAGCAUUGCCAUCAGCUGUGGUGUAGGUCACAGAUGCGGCGCAGAUUCUCCGUUGCUGUGGCUGUGGUGUAGGCUGGCAGCUGUAGCUCUGGUCUGACCCCCUAGCCUGGGAACCUCCAUGUGCCCAGGGUAUGGCCCUAAAAAGACAAAAAAAAAAAAA
rnacentral:lncRNA from 1 species